GAACGAACGCUGGCGGCAUGCCUAAUACAUGCAAGUCGAACGAACUCUUCGGAGUUAGUGGCGCACGGGUGCGUAACGCGUGGGAAUCUGCCCCUUGGUUCGGAAUAACAGUUGGAAACGACUGCUAAUACCGGAUGAUGACGAAAGUCCAAAGAUUUAUCGCCAAGGGAUGAGCCCGCGUAGGAUUAGCUAGGUUGGUGGGGUAAUGGCCUACCAAGGCGACGACGGGUAGCCGACCUGA
rnacentral:rRNA from 1 species